rnacentral:rRNA from 1 species
GUGAACGCUGGCGGUAGGCCUCACACCUGCAAGUCGAACGGCAGCACAGUAAGAGCUUGCUCUUACGGGUGGCGAGUGGCGGACGGGUGAGGAAUACAUCGGAAUCUACUUUUUCGUGGGGGAUAACGUAGGGAAACUUACGCUAAUACCGCAUACGACCUACGGGUGAAAGCAGGGGAUCUUCGGACCUUGCGCGAUUGAAUGAGCCGAUGUCGGAUUAGCUAGUUGGCGGGGUAAAGGCCCACCAAGGCGACGACCCGUAGCUGGUCUGAGAGGAUGAUCAGCCACACUGGAACUGAGACACGGUCCAGACUCCUACGGGAGGCAGCAGUGGGGAAUAUUGGACAAUGGGCGCAAGCCUGAUCCAGCCAUACCGCGUGGGUGAAGAAGGCCUUCGGGUUGUAAAGCCCUUUUGUUGGGAAAGAAAAGCAGCAGGUUAAUACCCCGCUGUUCUGACGGUACCCAAAGAAUAAGCACCGGCUAACUUCGUG